rfam:Triticum aestivum genome assembly, contig: Triticum_aestivum_CS42_TGACv1_scaffold_130043_2BL
ACGGUACUCCCUACGUCCGAAAAAACUUGUCCCAAGCUUGUUCCUCAAAUGGAUGUAUCUAGCACUAACUUGGUGCUAGAUACAUCCAUUUGAGGGACAAGUUUUUCCGGACGGAGGGAGUAACUC